UUGUGCCUGAUCCAGCACAAGACCCCUCUAACUAAUCCUAAUCAGCUAAUCAAACACCCUUAACCCUUUACCAGUUAUACUCUUUGUCAUCCUUGGAAAUUAGCCAAACCAUCCCCAACUAGAGAAACAUGACUUUCUUCUCUCUUCUGUCAAUGAUGGUAGUCAAUAGACCAUCGAAAAAUGGCAAUUUCUAGUGGUCCUUACCGUUCUCCACUCACGUUUUACCUUUUCCAUCAAUCUCACAUCCCUCCAUCACCUCACCCGUCUCUCCAUCACCUUUUCUCAAAAAAAUCAGACCUCAAAAAUACAGUCCAUCGCCACUAGCGCUCCUAGAGAAGGGAAGAAUUCAAAGGACCAUUGGGUUCGGGUUCAUCACUUUAUUAAUCCAGUGGAUAUGAAUAUUCCACCUCCAAACUGCCACUUUUUCCUUCAAAUCAAUUUGAAAAAGUAAGCCACCCCCUCAUCUUUCUCCAAUUUCAUCAUUACUUCAAAAAAUUAGCUUUCGAAGAAUUGAAAUUUUUAAUUCUUGAAGCUCCUAUUAGAGCAGUUGGAAGCCC
rnacentral:lncRNA from 1 species